rnacentral:rRNA from 1 species
UACGUAGGGGGCAAGCGUUGUCCGGAUUUAUUGGGCGUAAAGAGCGUGUAGGCGGCUUUACAGGUCCGUUGUGAAAACUCGAGGCUCAACCUCGAGACGCCGGUGGAAACCGUAAAGCUAGAGUCCGGAAGAGGAGAGUGGAAUUCCUGGUGUAGCGGUGAAAUGCGCAGAUAUCAGGAAGAACACCCGUGGCGAAGGCGGCUCUCUGGUACGUGACUGACGCUGAGACGCGAAAGCGUGGGGAGCGAUCCGG